UGAGUAACCUGCCUCAAAGAGGGGAAUAGCCUCCCGAAAGGGAGAUUAAUACCGCAUAAUAUGUUUAAGUCGCAUGACUUUAACAUCAAAGGAUUUUCUUUUAGAACUUCCACUUUGAGAUGGACCCGCGGCGCAUUAGCUAGUUGGUGAGGUAACGGCUCACCAAGGCAACGAUGCGUAGCCGACCUGAGAGGGUGAUCGGCCACAUUGGAACUGAGACACGGUCCAGACCUCUACGGGAGG
rnacentral:rRNA from 1 species